UCGUGCUAGGCGGGGCGCUAGGGGUGCCCUGUACCCGAAACCCUCUACAAGCGGGGCCGAAUCCCUGCCCGAGGGUGACCGCCACUUGGGUCAGCACCCAGCACGUGGCGUUGAAGGCCGGGUCCUGCGCGGCGGGACUUCGUGAAUUGGGUCAGGUCCGGAAGGAAGCAGCCCUAAGCGCUCAGCCCCGGGUGCCGCAGGAGCGCCUGGCUGGAGCCGGCGACUGGGGAAGCGCCGGGUAGCGGCAUUCGACGGCAGGGUGCACGG
rnacentral:SRP_RNA from 1 species